AUUGAACGCUGGCGGCAUGCUUUACACAUGCAAGUCGAACGGUAACAGGUCUUUCGGGAUGCUGACGAGUGGCGAACGGGUGAGUAAUGUAUCGGAACGUGCCCAGUAGUGGGGGAUAACUACUCGAAAGAGUGGCUAAUACCGCAUGAGAUCUCUGGAUGAAAGCGGGGGACCGUAAGGCCUCGCGCUACUGGAGCGGCCGAUAUCAGAUUAGGUUGUUGGUGAGGUAAAGGCUCACCAAGCCGACGAUCUGUAGCUGGUCUGAGAGGACGACCAGCCACACUGGGACUGAGACACGGCCCAGACUCCUACGGGAGGCAGCAGUGGGGAAUUUUGGACAAUGGGCGCAAGCCUGAUCCAGCAAUGCCGCGUGCAGGACGAAGGCCUUCGGGUUGUAAACUGCUUUUGUACGGAACGAAAAGCCUUCUUCUAAUACAGGAGGGUCAUGACGGUACCGUAAGAAUAAGCACCGGCUAACUACGUG
rnacentral:rRNA from 1 species